rnacentral:rRNA from 1 species
UUAACUUACACCCACACCGCCAGGGAAUUACGAGCAAUGCUUAAAACCCAAAGGAUUUGACGGUGUCCCACCCCGCUAGAGGAGCCUGUUCUAUAAUCGAUGAUCCCCGCUUCACCUAACCAUUCCUCGCCCAUCAGUCUGUAUACCUCCGUCGAAAGCUUACCCUGUGAACGUCCGCAGUAGGCCCAAUGAUUCCCCAUCAGUACGUCAGGUCAAGGUGCAGCUUAAGGAAUGGCAAGCAAUGGGCUACAAUUUCUAAUCUAGAACAAACGAAAGACUAUGUGAAACCCUAGUCAUGAAGGUGGAUUUAGUAGUAAAAAGAAACUAGAGUGUUCUUUUUAACCCGGCUCUGGGACGCGUACACACCGCCCGUCACCCUCUUCGAUAGUACUAUAUCUGUUAAUAACCCCAUAUCACGUUUUAGAAGAGGCAAGUCGUAACAUGGUAAGUGUACUGGAAAGUGCACUUGGUACACUA